AAGGCAUUAGCUGAGUGGUUUAGCAGUAAAUUUACACUUUACAAACAGAGGUUCAAACCCUCUACUCCUGC
rfam:Termitomyces sp. J132 unplaced genomic scaffold scaffold36, whole genome shotgun sequence.